rnacentral:rRNA from 1 species
AUAGCGUAUAUUAAAGUUGUUGCAGUUAAAAAGCUCGUAGUUGAAUUUUGGACCUGGCUGGGUGGUCUUGCCGCAAGGUAAGCACUGCCUCUGGUCGGGUCUUUCCUUCUGGGGAACCUGUGUGCCCUUAAUUGAGUGCGCAGGGGAUCCAGGACUUUUACUUUGAAAAAAUUAGAGUGUUUAAAGCAGGCUUUCGCUUGAAUACAUUAGCAUGGAAUAAUAGAAUAGGACUUUGGUUCUAUUUUGUUGGUUUCUAGGACCGAAGUAAUGAUUAAUAGGGAUAGUUGGGGGCAUUAGUAUUUAAUUGUCAGAGGUGAAAUUCUUGGAUUUAUGAAAGACUAACUUCUG